AACGAACGCUGGCGGCGUGCCUAACACAUGCAAGUCGUGCGGGAAAGUUCCCUUCGGGGAGCGAGUAUAGCGGCGCACGGGUGAGUAAUACGUAGGUAACCUGCCCUCAAGUUCGGGACAACCUGUCGAAAGACGGGCUAAUACCGGAUGAGACCACGAGAGCUGCGGCUCUUAGGGGUCAAAGGUGGCCUCUGCUUGCAAGCUAUCGCUUGAGGAU
rnacentral:rRNA from 1 species